rnacentral:rRNA from 1 species
CAAACAAAAAAAACAAACCAACAGGAUAUGAUGUGAAAA